rnacentral:rRNA from 1 species
AUUGAACGCUGGCGGCAUGCUUUACACAUGCAAGUCGAACGGCAGCACGGGGGCAACCCUGGUGGCGAGUGGCGAACGGGUGAGUAACACAUCGGAACGUGUCCAGUUGUGGGGGAUAACCCAUCGAAAGGUGGGCUAAUACCGCAUGAGCUGGCAACAGGAAAGCGGGGGACCCGCAAGGGCCUUGUGCGAUUGGAGCGGCCGAUGUCCGAUUAGCUAGUUGGUGGGGUAAAGGCCUACCAAGGCUUCGAUCGGUAGCUGGUCUGAGAGGAUGAUCAGCCACACUGGGACUGAGACACGGCCCAGACUCCUACGGGAGGCAGCAGUGGGGAAUUUUGGACAAUGGGGGCAACCCUGAUCCAGCCAUGCCGCGUGAGUGAUGAAGGCCUUAGGGUUGUAAAGCCCUUUUACCGGGACGAUGAUGACGGUACCCGGAGAAUAAGCCCCGGCUAACUUCGUGCCAGCAGCCGCCGCAGUAA